rnacentral:miRNA from 1 species
UGGGUUGGACAAAAAAUUGUUCAGGUUUUCCCAUAAGAUGUUAUGGAAAAACCCAAAUGAACUUUUGGGCCAAGCCAA